rnacentral:rRNA from 1 species
AGUGAACGCUGGCGGUAGGCCUAACACAUGCGAGUCGAACGGCAGCACAGUAAGAGCUUGCUCUUACGGGUGGCGAGUGGCGGACGGGUGAGGAAUACAUCGGAAUCUACUUUUUCGUGGGGGAUAACGUAGGGAAACUUACGCUAAUACCGCAUACGACCUACGGGUGAAAGCAGGGGAUCUUCGGACCUUGCGCGAUUGAAUGAGCCGAUGUCGGAUUAGCUAGUUGGCGGGGUAAAGGCCCACCAAGGCGACGAUCCGUAGCUGGUCUGAGAGGAUGAUCAGCCACACUGGAACUGAGACACGGUCCAGACUCCUACGGGAGGCAGCAGUGGGGAAUAUAGGACAAUGGGCGCAAGCCUGAUCCAGCCAUACCGCGUGGGUGAAGAAGGCCUUCGGGUUGUAAAGCCCUUUUGUUGGGAAAGAAAAGCAGCAGGUUAAUACCCCGCUGUUCUGACGGUACCCAAAGAAUAAGCACCGGCUAACUUCGUG